rnacentral:rRNA from 1 species
CCGUCUUGAAACACGGACCAAGGAGUCUAACAUGUGCGCGAGUCAUUGGGUCGCGCUAAACCCAAAGGCGCAAUGAAAGUGAAGGCAGCCUCGGGUUUGCCUAGGUAGGAUCUUUUUUUCUCUUUUGAGAGAAAGCGCACUACCGGCCCGUCUCGUCCGCGUUGCGGUGAGGCGGCGCGAGAGCGUACACGUUGGGACCCGAAAG